UAGUUUAAAAGAUUUCGUGAUGAAUCAUAACUACUAUAAGUGGUGCCCUACCAUGGGGUACACCUUGUCGUGGUGGUAGGGCUCUCUAGUCACAUUUUUCUAUGGCACAGCUAAGUAUACCAGGCGGGUAAAUCUGGUUACAAGGAUGCUGUAUCAUUCAAAUGCUUCAUGGAGUAGAGAAAUCCAAAAGGGUUCUCGACGACUGCUCAUUAAACGUAAUAUAGAAACCUAUAUUGACAUGAGCAGCACAUGUUUCACGUACAUUAACUCCCGAGGCGUGCGGUAGACGACAAUUUGGACAACUUCCGAAUCCGAUUCAGCCAUUUGCCGAUAGGGUUUCGAAUAAUCGGACUAGAUGGGGCAUGGAGAAAAUGGGGUGUAUCUGAAAAGAAUAAGAAAGAUGGACAGUGAUGCCUGCACAGACUGUGGUGCUGUGGAUGAUGCAGGACACGGAGUGUUAAAGUGCCCAAGGUGGGAAGCCGAGAGAUACCGCGUCGCUAUUAGAGUAGGAGAAGUAAUAGAAAAGGGUAACAUAAUCGAAACAAUGCUGGAAAGUGCAGAGGAAUGGAGACCCCUCUGGAAGAAUGCUUGAGCGAUGCCCGGAGGCGGAUAUUUUGGAGAUUAAGGGAUAAGGGGUUUUAGUGGGUGUGAGCCCCACACUACCGUUGCGAACAGACGGUGUGUGGUAAAAAAAAGAUCAUGACUUGUUAAACGUGAUAAAAGAGACUUGAUGGUAGGGCAAAGAAAAUAAUUGUUUUCUUCGUCGACAACUAAGGAAACUGCAUACAGCUUUGCGUGAACCGUAUGUUGCGGGCAAAUUUUGACUUAACUGUGAAUAAGUUGCCAUCACGCUUAAGAGUCUUCUGUUCGACUGCACCCAAUGUAAGGUUCCAUAAGAACGCCCGCUAUAGGAACUGUUUUUCCAAAAAAAGGUGUUUUAAGAACUACUUUAAAAUUUAGAUCUUUAUCUACAAAAUGUUCGUAAUGUAAAAAAGUUGCGCUUACGUAGACGUACAGAAAACUCUUAAAGUGGACAUAGCUUACUAAAUCAUCUCCAUAUGAUAGCUUCGAUGACCUAAAAACAAAGCAUCUUAUAUCACAGUUUUGAUACGGUUCUGUGCAACGUCUCCCUGUCUACACUGAUACGAUACGGGGAUACGAUACGAGGAUACGCAACAAAUCUGGACCGGUCUUGUACACAUUCUUCUAAAUAACUCAUUUCUUGUAAUAAGCUUAACUUAAAAACCUACAAGACUUAUAUGGCAGUUUUCUGAUGAGCAAAAAUCUUUCUGUUUGAUGCAAGAAAUAUUCCCAACAUCAUUACAUCAUUUUUUGGCAGAUUUGAUGCUAUCAGCUUUCGUAUACCCACUUUCCAUUCCUAUCUGGUUUUAAAAACUAAACUUUAGGAUAAUAUGAUCACCAUAAAAUGGAACAAGCACUAAAUUAAAAAACGUGGACAAACUAUAUCAACGCACAGAGGAUUAGGAUAGUGACGUCACGCGCUCUGAUUGGCGUUUGAUAUCACGUGACAAAUGUCGUUAUUUUUUAAUUUUAUUUUUACUAAAAUAUAAUAGUUUCUCUUGUACAUUACCAAAGAAAGUUAUUUUGCGAUACCCUGGUACCUUACUCUAUCUUAUGAAACAAACAUUUAUUUAUUCUUUUUCCACUGUCAUGUAGCCUAUUUGAACUCAAUUGAGAUAAUUAGUUUAAUCCCUUGAUUGUUAACGAAGACGAAUUCUUGUGCAAUGCAAUAUUUUUUCUCUACUAUAAAGCAGUAUAGAUUAGAUAAAACUUUGAAUGGAAUCUUAAGGUAAAUUAAAUGCUUAUUUUAUUCAUUUAGUCGUUGCCAGCAUAUACGUCCAAUUAAUAUGUAGGUAGGUACCGGAUGUGUCGUAUCAUAAUUAUAUGUUUUUAUAUCUU